AACGGCCUUGCCAUGCUGAAUAUACCGGUUCUCGUUAGAUCAGCCAAGUCAAGCAUCAUUGGGCGCGGUCAGUACUUGGGCGGGGGGUGACCACCUGGGCACCGUU